UACGUAGGCGGAAAAUUAAGUCAGUAGUGAAAUCCUGCAGCUUAACUGUAGAACUGUUAUUGAUACUGGUUUUCUUGAAUUUAGUUGAGGUAGGCGGAAUGUGUAAUGUAGCGGUGAAAUGCUUAGAUAUUACACAGAACACCGAUUGCGAAGGCAGCUUACUAAGCUAUGAUUGACGCUGAGGUACGAAAGCGUGGGGAGCGAACAGGAUUAGAUCCCUGGUAGUCC
rnacentral:rRNA from 1 species